rnacentral:rRNA from 1 species
GACGAACGCUGGCGGCGUGCUUAACACAUGCAAGUCGAACGGAAAGGCCCUGCUUUUGUGGGGUGCUCGAGUGGCGAACGGGUGAGUAACACGUGAGUAACCUGCCCUUGACUUUGGGAUAACUUCAGGAAACUGGGGCUAAUACCGGAUAGGAGCUCCUGCUGCAUGGUGGGGGUUGGAAAGUUUCGGCGGUUGGGGAUGGACUCGCGGCUUAUCAGCUUGUUGGUGGGGUAGUGGCUUACCAAGGCUUUGACGGGUAGCCGGCCUGAGAGGGUGACCGGCCACAUUGGGACUGAGAGACGGCCCAGACUCCUACGGGAGGCAGCAGUGGGGAAUAUUGCACAAUGGGCGGAAGCCUGAUGCAGCAACGCCGCGUGCGGGAUGACGGCCUUCGGGUUGUAAACCGCUUUCGCCUGUGACGAAGCGUGAGUGACAGUAAUGGGUAAAGAAGCACCGGCUAACUACGUG